AAAGUGAUCAGAAUGGUACAGUAUUAUUUAUGUUUUUUGUGAAAUGUUUUGGGUAUGUAGUGGAACAUAAAGGCACAUAAAGGUUGUUUGCCGUUUUAUUUACACACCUAUUAGCACAUUAGAUUUGCAUUAGCGUCUUCAGGAUUCCCCGUUAUAUUUCCUACCACAACCCUGGAUAUGUUUGUCACGUCCUGACCAUAGUAAGUUGUUAUUUUCUAUGGUAGAGUAGAACUGGGCGUGACAGGGGGGGUUUCUAGUUUAGUUUUUCAAUGUUGUUAUGUUCUAGUUUUGUAUUUCUAAGUUGGGUUGUUCUAAGUUUUGUAUUUCUAUGUUGGGCUGUGUUUGGGAGGAUCUCCAAUUAGAGGCAGCUGGUCAUCAUUGUCUCUAAUUGGAGGUCAUAUUUAAGUUGGUGUUUUUCCCACCUGGGUUUGUGGGAGAUCAAUUUUGAGUAGUGUAUGUUUUACCUCUGCGUCAUGUUUUUUGUCAUUCAGUUUAUUUAUGUAUUGCAUAGUUUCACAGUAUAAAUUAAAUGUGGAACGACACACACGCUGCAUUUUGGUCCGCUCCUCCUUUCGACAACCGUGACAAUGUUACCUUUUGGUCUUCCUCUGUGUGCCGGAACUCAGCUGGAAGGCUGUCAUCUCUCUCCCCCACCUUGGUAACCAUGAUAACACCAAUAGCCCUGCGGGUAUAGGAAAGGUCCGGCUAGCAUCAUCUCUCCCACCGCAAGCAUCUCCCAGAGUGGAAGCCAUGGAUGAGCGACUGGAGGGAGAGCAGGGCCCCGAGAACAUCUGGAGGAUGAAGAAGGUCCGAGCCAAAGGACAGGAGCAGAAGGCUGAGACCAAAGGUCAGAAGAACCAACAGAGGGUUCAGCCACAGAACCUGAAGAGUCAUCAGAUAUCGAGGAAACCAUCAUACACACACUCUACGAGUCACACUCAAGUUCACAGUCCUGGUUGUCAAGUAAUCCGGAAGAAUUUGGGCAACGACAUUGCCAUUGCCAGUUUUUCUAUUGUCUCUUUUUGGUCCAUUUAGAUUGUACACAAAAAAAUGUACAAAAUGUUAUGGUUAAAAAUGUUCAUGUUUUACUGUGGCUUGUAGGCUCCUAAGUGGACCAUAAGGUUAAAAACCAAACCCCCCCCCAAAAAACUGUCACAACGUUGACAGAAGGUGGCGCCUCUCCUCGUUCGGGCGGCGCUCGGCGGUCGUCGUCGCCGGCCUACUAGCUGCCACCGAUCCUCUUUUCAUUUUAUUUUGGUGAUGUCUGUUAUAUGUGUGCACCUGUAUUGAGUUAGGUCGUUAGUGGGGGGGUUAUUUAGUCUGUCUGUUUAGGUUUGGGGAUUGUGCGGGAUUGUUUUUUGUCUGCGUUGUUUAGGUUGGGGUUUAGGUUUUCCUCUGCCAUUUGUUUAUUAAUGUAUAUGAGUUUUCCUGGGCUGCACCCCUACUCUGUUUACAGGCUCUUAACCUUUUGAUGUAUUUCGCCCUGCCUUGCAUUUUUUUUGGCAGUUUUGGACUGAUACCUAUUAAAACGUGUUUUCACGGACCUUGGUCUCCUUCGCCUGACUUCACCCCUCCUGCUUAUUUGAGUAUCGUGACAGUAACUCUGCCAGAGUGUCUCUUUUGGGUCACUUUUGCCGGUCCCAAGCCCGGAUAAAGGAGGAGGGUUGGAAUUGAGACAACAACAAAAAACAAGAAUCGACAGAAGAAAGUUCAUUUGUAGUUCUAAACAUAUUUGCAGUGUUUUUUACUCACUUUUUGUCUCUCCCACAAUGUUAUUCCUCUCUCCUACAGCGUCAAUGACAAUUACAUGCACACGGCAAAUUAGGCAAAUUAGGUGAUGACGUCAUUUAGCGACUUUCCAGUGGGUCAGAAGUUUACAUACACUAAGUUGACUGUGCCUUUAAACAGCUUGGAAAAUUCCAGAAAAUUAUGUCAUGGCUUCAGAAGCUUCUGAUAGGCUAUUUGAAAUAAUUUAGGUCAAUUGGAGGUAUACCUGUGGAUGUAUUUCAAGGCCUACCUUCAAACUCAGUGCCUCUUUGCUUGACAUCAUGGGAAAAUCUAAACAAAUCAGCCAAGACCUCAGAAAAAAAUUGUAGACCUCCACAAGUCUGGUUCAUCCUUGGGAGCAAUUUCCAAACGCCUGAAGAUAC
rnacentral:lncRNA from 8 species